UACGUAGGUGGCAAGCGUUGUCCGGAAUUAUUGGGCGUAAAGCGCGCGCAGGCGGUCCCUUAAGUCUGAUGUGAAAGCCCACGGCUCAACCGUGGAGGGUCAUUGGAAACUGGGGGACUUGAGUGCAGAAGAGGAAAGUGGAAUUCCACGUGUAGCGGUGAAAUGCGUAGAGAUGUGGAGGAACACCAGUGGCGAAGGCGACUUUCUGGUCUGUAACUGACGCUGAGGCG
rnacentral:rRNA from 1 species